UGCGACCCCAGGUCAGACGGGACUACCCGCUGAGUUUAAGCAUAUCAAUAA
rnacentral:rRNA from 1 species